rnacentral:rRNA from 1 species
CUAAAACUCAAAGGAAUUGACGGGCCCCGCACAAGCGGCGGAGCAUGCGGCUUAAUUCGAUGCAACCCGAAGAACCUUACCUGGACUUGACAUCACCGGAAAAACCGUGGAAACACGGUGUGCUUUGCGUCGGUGACAGGUGGUGCAUGGCCGUCGUCAGCUCGUGUCGUGAGAUGUUGGGUUAAGUCCCGCAACGAGCGCAACCCUCGUUCUAUGUUGCCAGCGGAUAACGCCGGGGACUCAUAGAAGACUGCCGGGGACAACUCGGAGGAAGGCGGGGACGACGUCAAGUCAUCAUGCCCCUUAUGUCCAGGGCUGCACGCAUGCUACAAUGGACGGUACAACGGGUAGCGAUCCCGCGAGGGUGAGCCAAUCCUCCAAAGCCGUUCUCAGUUCGGAUUGGAGUCUGCAACUCGACUCCAUGAAGCCGGAGUCGCUAGUAAUCGUGGAUCAGCAUGCCGCGGUGAAUACGUUCCCGGGCCUUGUACACACCGCCCGUCACACCAUGGGAGUUGGCUUACCCGAAGGCGGCGAGCUAACCUUCGGGAGGCAACCGACCACGGUAAGGUCAGCGCCUGGG